rnacentral:rRNA from 1 species
AGAGUUUGAUCAUGGCUCAGAUUGAACGCUGGCGGCAUGCCUUACACAUGCAAGUCGAACGGCAGCACGGGAGCCUGCUCCUGGUGGCGAGUGGCGAACGGGUGAGUAAUACAUCGGAACGUACCCUGAAGUGGGGGAUAACGUAGCGAAAGUUACGCUAAUACCGCAUAUUCUGUGAGCAGGAAAGAGGGGGAUCGCAAGACCUCUUGCUUUAGGAGCGGCCGAUGUCGGAUUAGCUAGUUGGUGAGGUAAAGGCUCACCAAGGCGACGAUCCGUAGCGGGGUCUGAGAGGAUGAUCCGCCACACUGGGACUGAGACACGGCCCAGACUCCUACGGGAGGCAGCAGUGGGGAAUUUUGGACAAUGGGCGCAAGCCUGAUCCAGCCAUGCCGCGUGAGUGAAGAAGGCCUUCGGGUUGUAAAGCUCUUUCGGUGGGGAAGAAAUUGCUUCGGUUAAUACCUGGAGUAGGUGACGGUACCCGCAUAAGAAGCACCGGCUAACUACGUG